CCUACGGGAGGCAGCAGUGGGGAAUAUUGGACAAUGGGGGCAACCCUGAUCCAGCCAUGCCGCGUGUGUGAAGAAGGCCCUCGGGUUGUAAAGCACUUUCAGUGAGGAAGAACGCCUGGUGGUUAAUACCCAUCAGGAAAGACAUCACUCACAGAAGAAGCACCGGCUAACUCCGUGCCAGCAGCCGCGGUAAUACGGAGGGUGCGAGCGUUAAUCGGAAUUACUGGGCGUAAAGCGCGCGUAGGUGGCUUGAUAAGCCGGUUGUGAAAGCCCCGGGCUCAACCUGGGAACGGCAUCCGGAACUGUCAAGCUAGAGUGCAGGAGAGGAAGGUAGAAUUCCCGGUGAAGCGGUGAAAUGCGUAGAGAUCGGGAGGAAUACCAGUGGCGAAGGCGGCCUUCUGAACUGACACUGACACUGAGGUGCGAAAGCGUGGGUAGCAAACAGGAUUAGAUACCCCGGUAGUC
rnacentral:rRNA from 1 species